CAGUAAGAGAUCCCACUAAUGAGAUGAAAAUCUUCAGAGUAAUUGAAAUGCAGCCAAUUGAUGUUGCUGCAUACUUGCAAUUAUUAGGUGAAAGUUUGACCAUGAUUAGUGAAAGGCUGAAGGAACAGAAUGGACAAAUCACUGUUUUGGGAAGUCUUUCAUUCAGAACGCAACAGGUUCCUGCCAUUGGAACUCAAAACACAAAUCAGUAUAUAUACCGAUAGCUUUUUCAAGAAAUGCUUAAUGAUGUCUGACCUACCGGUGAUGCAUUCACCUCCUGAAUAUGUACAAGCGCAUCAAUUUCACAAUCAAGGUCAAGUAGGUACUUUAAUCAUUAGUGUCUGACUUUUCAGACAAUGUAGCUUGGUGGUCAUUGAUAACUCUCAGAGUUCUAACACAAAGCCUAAAAAGAAGUGCUGAUGACAAGUGCGUAAAGGAAUUUCUGAACGCAUUAGAAAGUGAAUGUACAGAUGAUGUAAAUUUUUUAAAGCAAAAGCCUCGGCUCAAAAGUAUUCUUUCUUCAGAACAACAAGGCUAGAUGCCAAUUGCUUCUUUCGAGCUUAUAGCACGUAAGCGAGUAAAGGUAAUUUAGUUCAGCUGGAAGACAACUCCAGAGAGAAGCUGACUUAUCAACAUUUCAUAGAAGGUGAUCAUACUGUUAAGGAAUCUUGCAAUCAGAAGGUAGAGUAUUUCAAGAGAUCAAAGAGUCUGAUCACAUUCACAUUAUUGCUACGAGUACUGCGUUGAAUCCUGGAAUAUAGGUAAGAUACACGGAUCGAGGUGCUGGCACUGAAGUAACAGCUCAUGACUUCCCAGAAGGCCCAAUCAACACGGACUAUAUAAUUUUGGAGCAAAUCAGCAGAAAGAUGAAAUCUCCAUGAUUCCGUGACUAGUCAGUAACACCUAUUAAAAUAGUUAGUUGCUUCCUCUUGGCUUGGAAGUUUACUUUGUAAUGACUUAUAAUUUGUUAAACAGCAUGCUAAGUAGUGGCCAAUUCCGUUGGAAUCUAAUGGAGGAACAUAUUUUGCUACACCGCAUAACAUAAAGGUUUCAUCUUUUAUUGACAUUCUUUGUAGUAUGUCAUUCAAAUCAGUAUCGAAGUUUUCUGCAUCUAUUUUUAAUUCGUCCUGUGCAUAUGUGGAUUUUCUGUAUACUUCAUCAGUAUCAAUCCAUAGAUACUGUUCCGUCGAGACCCGAGGAGAAGAAUUCCGCCGUGAAAACGGCAUCGAGCGAACUCCGCGAGGUCGACGUAGAGCCCGUGGCGCCAUCUCCCGUGCUCGAGUUGAGUAAGCGACUUCGCAACUUGCUGCACUCGCCGACAGCGCCGCCGGCCUCGGGUGUGUUCCAGAGGGAACGCCAGCAGCGCUCUGGCUAACUUCAUGUCAGCCUCUAUUUGUCGACAGUGCUCUACAAGAACCUUAUCCUGCCUCAAUGUCAUGUGCAAUAAAGAACGCUUCAAUUCUCCAAAAUAUGUCUCUGACCGGGCUGAAGAUGAUACAUGAUGAGGAUUUUGAAAAUGUUCCUGCAUUACAUUUGUCCAACAGACAAAUUCUUUGGAUAAUUCAACCAGCCUGUCACCAAAAUUUGUUACAACCAAACAUGGGGAUUAUUUAGUCAUAAUGGGUGAAAAUCAAACAGAAGAUAAAUCCAGUAGUGUGCCUCAGUAUAUCAUCCAGUACAUCACUAAGGAAAGUGCAAUGUCCAUAACUCGGAGUACGACAAUUACUUGGGUGUGCUCAAAUCAAUCAUGGUAAAUAAUAAGAACCCGUUAGCAUUGAAGAAAUAACUGAGGAUAAACUAAGGAUAACUGUGAUAAAGAUUUGCAGAGGGUUUUGCCAUUUAUCUCAAUUCACAAUGAAGCCAUUAAAUUUGCACAUGACCCCUUCACAUCUUCAGGGCAAUCUAUCGGGAGCAAUGGUGGGUAGGAAAAGAAUUGGCUGGAUACUCUAAAACUGUUGGAAAUUUGACUGAAGUACUUGUAAGGAAUACUGGACACAUGGUGCCUGCGGAUCCGCCAAUGUGGGCUUGGGACUUAUAAUUACUCGUAUUACUCAUCACAAACCUUUUUAAUUAUUUUUGCAUAAAUUAAUUCUGUUAACGAUCACAUUUAAGAGAAUGAAAAAGAUUUAGGUGGAUGUUUAUAUACUUUGUAAGUUAAUAUGAUAGAAAAAUAGUUUGUGAUUAUAGAAUAAGGUAUUUGUACACGAUUUCAAAGUUAUUUAAUAAAAACAAUUGAUGAGAAUUUUAGAACUUAA